rnacentral:rRNA from 1 species
AUUGAACGCUGGCGGUAUGCUUAACACAUGCAAGUCGAACGAUGAGAAAGAGCUUGCUCUUUCGAUUAGUGGCGGACGGGUGCGUAACGCGUAGGAAUCUACCUAUUAGUGGGGGACAACUUAGGGAAACUUAAGCUAAUACCGCAUACGCCCUACGGGGGAAAGAAGGGGAUCGCAAGACCUUUUGCUAAUAGAUGAGCCUGCGUAGGAUUAGCUGGUUGGUGGGGUAAAAGCUCACCAAGGCGACGAUCCUUAACUGGUUUGAGAGAAUGAUCAGUCACACUGGAACUAGGACACGGUCCAGACUCCUACGGGAGGCAGCAGUGGGGAAUAUUGGACAAUGGGCGAAAGCCUGAUCCAGCAAUACCGCGUGUGUGAAGAAGGCCUUAGGGUUGUAAAGCACUUUCAAUUGGAAGGAAAACCUCGAAGCUAAUACCUUCGAGUUUGACAUUACCUUUAGAAGAAGCACCGGCUAACUCCGUGCCAGCCGCCGCAGUAA